AUGUGUUUUUUCAACAAGAUUCACUCCUGGACUUUUGGAGGAGCAUCCAAACUCAGUGUCAUAAGUGAUACUCGGCCUACCCUCACAGUGUUGCCCCCCUCCAGUGUGGAGCUGCAACAGGGGAAGGCUACAUUGGUGUGUUUGGCUAACAAAGGCUUUCCUUCAGACUGGACGCUGAGCUGGAAGGUGGACGGUAACAGCCAGACAUCAGGUGUGAGUGUGAGUGGGGGUGUGCUGGAGAAGGGAAACGACCUCUACAGCUGGAGCAGCACCCUGAGCCUCACUGAGAAGCAGUGGAGGAACAUACGAGCAGUGAGCUGUGAGGCCAGACAGGGCAGCCAAAGCCCAGUCACCCACAGCAUGACCACACAGCAGUGCACUGACCUCUGA